GACAGAGGGUGCAAACGUUGUUCGGAAUUACUGGGCGUAAAGCGUGUGUAGGCGGCUUUGCAAGUCGGAUGUGAAAGCCCCGGGCUCAACCCGGGAAGUGCACUCGAUACUGCAGAGCUUGAGUGUGGGAGAGGUUGGUGGAAUUCUCGGUGUAGAGGUGAAAUUCGUAGAUAUCGAGAGAACACCGGCGGCGAAGCGGCCAACUGGACCACUACUGACGCUGAGACACGAAAGCGUGGGGAGCAAACAGG
rnacentral:rRNA from 1 species